UACGUAGGGGGCUAGCGUUGUCCGGAUUUAUUGGGCGUAAAGAGCGUGUAGGCGGCCAGGUAGGUCUGGUGUGAAAACUCGAGGCUUAACCUCGAGAUGUCAUCGGAAACCAUUUGGCUAGAGUCCGGAAGAGGCGAGUGGAAUUCCUGGUGUAGCGGUGGAAUGCGCAGAUAUCAGGAGGAACACCAAUAGCGAAGGCAGCUCGCUGGGACGUUACUGACACUGAGGCGCGAAAGCGUGGGGAGCGAACAGG
rnacentral:rRNA from 1 species